rnacentral:rRNA from 1 species
UACGUAGGGGGGCAAGCGUUUGUCCGGAUUUAUUGGGCGUAAAGAGCGUGUAGGCGGCCUGGUAGGUCAGCUGUGAAAACUCGAGGCUCAACCUCGAGACGCCGGUUGAAACCAUCAGGCUAGAGUCCGGAAGAGGAGAGUGGAAUUCCCGGUGUAGCGGUGAAAUGCGCAGAUAUCGGGGAAGAACACCCGUGGCUAAGGCGGCUCUCUAGUACGGUACUGACGCUGAGACGCGAAAAGCGUGGGGGAGCGAACAGG